UCAGGAGAAAUAGGUCAGAUCGGACUGUGGUGCAAUUUUCACGAUCACCACCAGAGGGCGGGGCUUCCUUCAGAUGCGGUUCCUCAUUGUAUUCAGGAGCUGGUUUCACUUGCCUGCUUUGUAGCCACAAGACAGAAUAUUGCUGCAGUGCAGAAAGGGGCUCUCAGUUUCUGAGUGAGGAGCUUCUGUAACAUCCAGCUGGAGACUAGAUUUGUUAGACUGGUGUAUUCCAGGGCACAAGGAUCGUUUUCUUUUGCGAACAUGCGUUCUGACACUCACUCAGUUCUUCUGAUCAUCUUAAUAUUCAGAGGGACCAAUGGUGACUCAGUGAACCAGACAGAAGGCCCAGUGACUGUCUCAGAGGGGGCUCUCAUGACCCUGAACUGCACUUACCAGACUGCUAAUUUUGCUGCCUAUCUUUUCUGGUAUAUCCAGCAUCUCAACAAAGCUCCUCAACUCCUCCUGAAGGGCUUAACAGCAGACAAGAAGGUAGAACAUGAAGGUUUUCAGGCCACUCUUGUUAAGCGUGACAGUUCCUUCCACUUGCAGAAACGGGCAGUGCAAGCAUCAGACUCAGCUGUGUACUACUGUGCUCUGAGUGACACAGUGAGAGAGGGCUGUGGGGGAGCUGAACACAAACCCAGAGUGCAGAUGGGGCUCUGGCUGUGGGCAGCCCUGGAAGGGGUGUUGUUUCUCUCUCCAGAGGUACUGUCAAAGCACUUACAGCUCUGAUACUCAGAGCCAAGGACCUUGGAAUUCUUGGAUUGUCCUACAGAGGAAUCUGGGGCAGGACAGUGUAAAGAGGAACCUAAGCGCUCUUCUCCAGAAAUGCCUGUUAUCAGCCCAUCCACAUUUCGCCAGAUGGCAUAGAAUCCCUUAAA